rnacentral:lncRNA from 10 species
AUGAAGGCAGUGGUCAGAAAGGAUACCGAAUUCUUCUGCCUUUGCUGGGCUCUAGUCAACUGCUUCCAGGAGACCUUCCCACAGCCAGAGCUUCCACCUGCUUGCUAAGAAAGGCCAUCUCUCCUGGAACUUAUGGUCUACACCCUUCCACUUGGCGCCUCAUGGAAGCAAUUCAAGAGGAUCAUUUUAACAAGAUGUCACCAGAAUAAAUAGGUUAGGCACAUAAGAAGACAGAAUGUGAUUUCACUUAUACUUCUUUACAUCUCACUGUCAACCUCUCAGACUCGAACUGCUGCUUUGCAUUAUGGAGCAAAAAUAUGAAGAGGUUAAAAUAAUUAAUGUAAAUAAGAUGGUGGACAAAUGCAUUACUUCUCAGGAAUAAAAUGUUUGUGUUUUAAUGGAAGCCUUCAGGAAAGUCAGUGCCUUAAUUCAAAGUCAGAGAAUUUUAAUGGCAGUGACAGACAUAUGGGAGUGGUAUUUUGGAUAGAGGUGUUUUGGAUAUGUCAUUUUAUUGUUCCCAAGCAAUAAAAGGAUGUACAAGCUGUACAAGG